rnacentral:rRNA from 1 species
CUAGAGAUAGAAAGUUACUUCGGUACAUCGGUGACAGGUGGUGCAUGGUUGUCGUCAGCUCGUGUCGUGAGAUGUUGGGCUAAGUCCCGCAACGAGCGCAACCCCUAUUGUUAGUUGCCAUCAUUCAGUUGGGCACUCUAGCGAGACUGCCGGUAAUAAACCGGAGGAAGGUGGGGAUGACGUCAAAUCAUCAUGCCCCUUAUGACCUGGGCUACACACGUGCUACAAUGGUUGGUACAACGAGUUGCGAGUCGGUGACGGCGAGCUAAUCUCUUAAAGCCAAUCUCAGUUCGGAUUGUAGGCUGCAACUCGCCUACAUGAAGUCGGAAUCGCUAGUAAUCGCGGAUCAGCACGCCGCGGUGAAUACGUUCCCGGGUCUU